CCCCGAGGAAAAGAAAUCAACCGAGAUUCCCCCAGUAGCGGCGAGCGAACGGGGAGCAGCCCAGAGCCUGAAUCAGUGUGUGUGUUAGUGGAAGCGUCUGGAAAGGCGCGCGAUACAGGGUGACAGCCCCGUACACAAAAAUGCACAUACUGUGAGCUCGAUGAGUAGGGCGGGACACGUGGUAUCCUGUCUGAAUAUGGGGGGACCAUCCUCCAAGGCUAAAUACUCCUGACUGACCGAUAGUGAACCAGUACCGUGAGGGAAAGGCGAAAAGAACCCCGGCGAGGGGAGUGAAAAAGAACCUGAAACCGUGUACGUACAAGCAGUGGGAGCACGCUUCGGCGUGUGACUGCGUACCUUUUGUAUAAUGGGUCAGCGACUUAUAUUCUGUAGCAAGGUUAACCGAAUAGGGGAGCCGAAGGGAAACCGAGUCUUAACUGGGCGUUAAGUUGCAGGGUAUAGACCCGAAACCCGGUGAUCUAGCCAUGGGCAGGUUGAAGGUUGGGUAACACUAACUGGAGGACCGAACCGACUAAUGUUGAAAAAUUAGCGGAUGACUUGUGGCUGGGGGUGAAAGGCCAAUCAAACCGGGAGAUAGCUGGUUCUCCCCGAAAGCUAUUUAGGUAGCGCCUCGUGAAUUCAUCUCCGGGGGUAGAGCACUGUUUCGGCAAGGGGGUCAUCCCGACUUACCAACCCGAUGCAAACUGCGAAUACCGGAGAAUGUUAUCACGGGAGACACACGGCGGGUGCUAACGUCCGUCGUGAAGAGGGAAACAACCCAGACCGCCAGCUAAGGUCCCAAAGUCAUGGUUAAGUGGGAAACGAUGUGGGAAGGCCCAGACAGCCAGGAUGUUGGCUUAGAAGCAGCCAUCAUUUAAAGAAAGCGUAAUAGCUCACUGGUCGAGUCGGCCUGCGCGGAAGAUGUAACGGGGCUAAACCAUGCACCGAAGCUGCGGCAGCGACACUAUGUGUUGUUGGGUAGGGGAGCG
rnacentral:rRNA from 1 species